GAGGAUAACCUUGCGAAAGUAAGACUAAUACCCUAUGAUGUUCUUCGCAGGCAUCUAAAGAGAACCAAAGAUUUAUCGGCAACGGAUGGGGAUGCGUCUGAUUAGGUUGUUGGCGGGGUAACGGCCCACCAAGCCUACGAUCAGUAGGGGUUCUGAGAGGAAGGUCCCCCACAUUGGAACUGAGACACGGUCCAAACUCCUACGGGAGGCAGCAGUGAGGAAUAUUGGUCAAUGGACGGAAGUCUGAACCAGCCAAGUAGCGUGCAGGACGACGGCCCUAUGGGUUGUAAACUGCUUUUAUGUGGGAAUAAAGUGAGGGACGUGUCCCUUUUCGUAGGUACCACAUGAAUAAGGACCGGCUAAUUCCGUGCCAGCAGCCGCGGUAAUACGGAAGGUCCGGGCGUUAUCCGGAUUUAUUGGGUUUAAAGGGAGCGUAGGCCGUCUUUUAAGCGUGUUGUGAAAUACUGUCGCUCAACGACAGAGGUGCAGCGCGAACUGGGAGACUUGAGUGCGCGGAAUGCAGGCGGAAUUCGUCGUGUAGCGGUGAAAUGCUUAGAUAUGACGAAGAACUCCGAUUGCGAAGGCAGCUUGCAGUAGCGUAACUGACGCUGAAGCUC
rnacentral:rRNA from 1 species